UACGUAGGGUGCGAGCGUUGUCCGGAUUUAUUGGGCGUAAAGAGCUCGUAGGCGGUUUGUCGCGUCGGCCGUGAAAUCUCCACGCUUAACGUGGAGCGUGCGGUCGAUACGGGCAGACUUGGAGUUCGGUAGGGGAGACUGGAAUUCCUGGAUGUAGCGGUGAAAUGCGCAGACGUAUCAGGAGGAACACCGGUGGCGAAGGCGGGUCUCUGGGCCGAUUACUGACGCUGGAGGAGCGGAAAGCCGUGGGGAGCGAACAGG
rnacentral:rRNA from 1 species